GGCACAGGAAGGUGAGGCAAGGUGUUUCCAGCCGGCAGGAUGGAGGACGAGGAAGGCCCUGAGUAUGGCAAACCUGACUUUGUGCUUUUGGACCAAGUGACCAUGGAGGACUUCAUGAGGAACCUGCAGCUCAGGUUCGAGAAGGGCCGCAUCUACACCUACAUCGGUGAGGUGCUGGUGUCCGUGAACCCCUACCAGGAGCUGCCCCUGUAUGGGCCUGAGGCCAUCGCCAGGUACCAGGGCCGUGAGCUCUAUGAGCGGCCACCCCAUCUCUAUGCUGUGGCCAACGCCGCCUACAAGGCAAUGAAGCACCGGUCCAGGGACACCUGCAUCGUCAUCUCAGGGGAGAGUGGGGCAGGGAAGACAGAAGCCAGUAAGCACAUCAUGCAGUACAUCGCUGCUGUCACCAAUCCAAGCCAGAGGGCUGAGGUGGAGAGGGUCAAGGACGUGCUGCUCAAGUCCACCUGUGUGCUGGAGGCCUUUGGCAAUGCCCGCACCAACCGCAAUCACAACUCCAGCCGCUUUGGCAAGUACAUGGACAUCAACUUUGACUUCAAGGGGGACCCGAUCGGAGGACACAUCCACAGCUACCUACUGGAGAAGUCUCGGGUCCUCAAGCAGCACAUGGGUGAAAGAAACUUCCACGCCUUCUACCAAGUAAGCCCUGAGGGCAAGGGGAGGUGGAAAAAUGGGGUGGGGAAAGGGAGGGCAGCAAGCUGGACCAGCUUGUGACCCUUCCGUCACUACCCCAAUUCCCCCUCUCUGCCCACUCAACCCCACCUAGCCCAUCGUCCUCACUCCCCACCACACUCACCCCAACCAGUACCCCACACCCCACAAACAAGAGGGUGUGAGCUUGCAGGGAACAAAAGCAGGAUGUCCCCUUUAUCUGAGACACCUCCAGAUGAGGGCUCUCUGGGACCCAUAAGUGUCUCUGUGAACAAUAAGCUCCCCACGAGGUGGGCUUCCCCUGGGAUUACAGGCAGUGUCUAGAGACACUAGAGUGGUAUCAGAGCUCAACACUGAAGUGGUGCUCCUGGGGACACGGGCAUUGACUCUGAGCACCUCUGUGAGAUAGGCGCGCCCAGGGACUGUCUCCACAAGCUUUGACACCCCACUGAGGUGGGAGCUCCCUGGAAACAGUGUCUCUGCAGUCUCAGAGCUUGACACUGAAGUGGAGCUCCCUGGCACACCAGCGGUGUGUUUGCAAACUGUGGGCUGCCCACUGUGUCCUCUGGGACACAGACAGUGUUUCCACAGACUCCGAACUCCCCCACUGAAUUGGGAGCACCCUAUGACUGGAGCAGUGUCUCUAGGGACUUGGAGCUCCCCACUGAGUUAGGAGUUCCCUGCAGCACAGACAUGGUCCCCACCAACUCUCAGCUCCCCAGUGCAGUGGGAGCUCCCUGGAACACAGCAGUUUCUCCCUGGUACACAGGCGGUGUUUCCAUGGAUUCUGAGCUCUUUACUGAGGUGGGAGCUCCCUGAGACAAGCAUAGUGUCUCACAGACUCUGUGCUCCCCAUGAGACAGGAGCUCCCUGGGUAGCGGGCAGGGUCUCCAGGGUCUAUGAACCGCCCGCUGAGGUGGGAGCCUCCUGGGAUGCAAGGAGUGCCUUUAAGGACUCUGAGCUUCCAUGGUGUGGUGCUCCCUGGGACACGGCAGUGUCUUCACGACUCUGACUUCCCACUGAAGUCACACUCUCUGGGACACAGCAGUGUCUGUAAGGACUCUGAACUCCACUGAGGGGGGAGCCCCCUGGGCUGUCUUUCCAGUGAGUCUGCGCUGAGGUGGGAGCUCACUGGGAAACCAGUAGUGUCUCUGUGGACUCUGACCUUUAUUUGAGGUAAAAGCUCCCUGAGACACUGGCAGUGUCUCCACAGACUCUGAGCCUCCCCCUGGUGGGAGCCCCUGGGAACACAGAGGGCGUCUCCACAGACUCUGAGCUCUCACUGAAAUGAAGCUCCCUGGGACUCCAGCAGGACCUCCACAGACUCUUACCUCCCCACUGAAAUGGGAGAUUUUGGGACAUGGGCAGGGUCUCCAUGGACUCAGAGUUCCCCUAUUGAAGGGGGAGUUCGGUGGCACAUGGGCAUUGUCUCUAAUGACUCUGAGCUCCUGGCUGAGGGGAUUGCUCCCUGGGACAUUGCCAGGGUCUCCACAGACUCUGAGCUCCCCAUGAGGUGGGAGCUCCAUAGGAUUUGGGCAGGGUCUCCAUGAACUAUAAACUCUCCACUGAGGUGGGAGCUCCCUGGGACACAGAGAGUUUUUUUCAGACUCUGAACUCCCAUGAAAUGGAGCUCUUUGGAGCAUGGACAGUGUCUUUAAGGACUCUGAGCUACCCACCGAGGUGGGAGCUCAGUGGGACAUGUGAAGCAGUGUCUCCACGGACUCUGGGCUGCCCACUCAGAUGGGCUGUGUCUUGGACACAGGCAGUGUCUCUAUCAACUUUGGGCUCUGCUCUGAGGUAAGAGCCCCGUGGGACAGGGGCACUAUCUCCUUGGACUUUGAACUCCCACCAAAGUGGAGCUCACUGGGACAGUGGCAACGUCUCCACGGAUUCUGAGCUCCCGCUGAAGUGGAGCUCCCUGGGAAUCAGUCAGUGUCCAAGAACUCUGAGCUUCCCUGAGGUGGGAGCCCUCUGGAACACAAGGAGUGUCCACGCAGACUCUGAGCUUCCAUGAAGUAGGGCUGUCUGGGACACUGGCGGUGUCUCUAUGGUCUCUGAGCUCCUCACGGAGCUGGGAGCUCCCUCGGAUAUGGGCGGUGUCUCCACAAACUCUCCAUUCCCCUAUGAGGUGGAAGCUCUCUGCGACAUGACCAUUGUCUCUGUGGAAUCUGAGCUUCCCACUAGUGGGAGCCCCUUGGGACACAGGGCAAGGUCUCCACAGACUCUAAGCUCCCACUGAAGUGGAGCUCUCUGGAAUAACAGCAGGAUCUCCACAGACUCUUACCACCUCCAGUGAAGUGGGAACUUUUGGGACACAGGCAGUGUCUCCAUGGACUCUGAGCUCCCUGCUGAGGUGGGAGUUCAUGUGGCACCAGUUGUGUCUCCACAGAUGCUGAGCUCCCUAGGACAUGGGCUCUCCCUGGGUGGAGAGCAAUGUCUCCACGGAACCUGUGCUCCCUACUGAGGUGGGAGCUUCCUGGGACAGGGGCAGGGUCUCCAGUAACUCUGAGCUCCCACUGAAGUGGAGCUCCCUAGGAUUCUGCAGUUUCUCCACAAACUCUUACCUCCUCACUCAGUGGGAGGUUUUGGGACCCGGGUAGUGUCUCCACAUACUCUGAGCUACCCACUGAGGUGGGAUCCCCCUGGGUCGAGGGCAAUGUCUCCACAGGGACUGAGCUCCCUACCAAGAUGAGGUCUGGCACAAGAACAGUGACUUCAUGGUGGAGUCAUAGCUCCCACUGAAGUGGAGCUCCCUGACCCACUGAACAGCUGAAUGGGGAGCUUGCUGGCACACAGAAACUGUUCACACUGUCUGACCUUCCCCCACGUUUGUUCGUUCAAUACUGGAAGGAAGCGCAAGUCUGUUUGUUCUCCUGCCUCUGUGUGUGUACAGGGGGACAUCCUGGGAGCUUAUUUGUCUAAAGGAUGCCUGUGUCCUCUAGUUGCUGAGAGGCAGUGAGGACAAGCAGCUGCAUGAACUGCACUUGGAGAGAAACCCUGCUGUAUACAAUUUCACACGCCAGGGAGCAGGACUCAACAUGACUGUGCACAGUGCCUUGGACAGUGAUGAGCAGAGCCACCAGGCAGUGACCGAGGCCAUGAGGGUCAUCGGCUUCAGUCCUAAAGAGGUGGAGUCUGUGCAUCGCAUCCUGGCUGCCAUAUUGCACCUGGGAAACAUCGAGUUUGUGGAGACGGAGGAGGGUGGGCUGCAGAAGGAGGGCCUGGCAGUGGCCGAGGAGGCACUGGUGGACCAUGUGGCUGAGCUGACGGCCACACCCCGGGACCUCGUGCUCCGCUCCCUGCUGGCUCGCACAGUUGCCUCGGGAGGCAGGGAACUCAUAGAGAAGGGCCACACUGCAGCUGAGGCCAGCUAUGCCCGGGAUGCCUGUGCCAAGGCAGUGUACCAGCGGCUGUUUGAGUGGGUGGUGAACAGGAUCAACAGUGUCAUGGAACCCCGCGGCCGGGAUCCUCGGCGUGAUGGCAAGGACACAGUCAUUGGCGUGCUGGACAUCUAUGGCUUCGAGGUGUUUCCCGUCAACAGUUUCGAGCAGUUCUGCAUCAACUACUGCAACGAGAAGCUGCAGCAGCUAUUCAUCCAGCUCAUCCUGAAGCAGGAACAGGAAGAGUACGAGCGCGAGGGCAUCACCUGGCAGAGCGUUGAGUAUUUCAACAACGCCACCAUUGUGGAUCUGGUGGAGCGGCCCCACCGUGGCAUCCUGGCCAUGCUGGACGAGGCCUGCAGCUCUGCUGGCACCAUCACUGACCGAAUCUUCCUGCAGACCCUGGACACGCACCACCGCCAUCACCUACACUACACCAGCCGCCAGGUGCCCCCGGCUGUCCCAGUGCCACCACAGUGGGCUGGUGGGACCUGCCCCACAGGCACCACGCUGCCCAUGCCUCGUGGGGCCUGGUUGGGGACCCAGCUUUGGUGCCAUUGUCGUCACUGUGGCAACCUUCUCUGCCCUGGAGGUGGGGAGGCAGGGCUAUCCCUUCAUACAGACCCUCCACAUACCUUUUGUGCCUUGACCUCAGCCUGUCCCCAUAGCUCUGCCCCACAGACAAGACCAUGGAGUUUGGCCGAGACUUCCGGAUCAAGCACUAUGCAGGGGACGUCACGUAAGGGCCCCCUCCCACCCACAUCCCUAGCUUUCCCACAGGCACCAUGGCAUGUGUCAUGGGGCAGGAGCGCUUCAGGGGAGUGGCUGGGAGACAGGUGUUAUGGCCCCUUCUGCCACCCCCACCCCUUUAAGACACUGAAACAUGCCGGACAGCAGAUUCACAAGUGAAGAGCAGGAAACAGGGUUUGAGGAUAGUGGUUAACCAUGGCUGCAUUCUUCUGGGAGCCUUUAAAAAAUACCCACGUCUCAUGUCUGGGCCCAACCCUAUACCAGCAUCUGUGGGGUGGGGGGCUUCAGGCUGGUGAUGUGGGGGUGGGGAGGGAGUGGAAGGUGCAGGGGGGCCAAGAUUCUGUAUUUCUAACAAGCUCCCAGGUGAGGCCUCGCUACCAUACUUGGACCACGCUCCCAGUGCCAAAGCCCAGGUGUCUUCAGGGGUUGUCAUGAUGGCUAUUAACUUAUGUGUUGCUUGCCGCAUCCCAAAACGAUUUAAGGUGACUCACAUCGAGGUAUAAGUGUUUCAUGAGAACUUCUCAAGGAGAGGGAAUAGAAUAGAUGAUGACGACAAAGCAGCCCAAUAUCAUCUACCUUUAUCUGUUCGCAAAAUCUACACCCAUGAGGUCGCUCAUGCCUGUAACCCCAGCACUUUGGGAGGCCAAAGUGGGUGGAUCACCUGAGGCCAAGAGUUCGAGACCAGCCUGGCCAACAUGGCAAAACCUCAUCUGUACUAAAAAUAUAAAAAUUAUCCGGGCAUGGUGACACGUGCCUGUAAUGCCAGUUGCUCGGGAGGCUGAGGCACAAGAAUUGCUUGAACCUGGGAGGUGGAGGUUGUGGCGAACUGAGAUCACACCACUGCACUCCAGCCUGGGCAACAGAGUGAGACUAUUUCUC
rnacentral:sRNA from 1 species